rnacentral:piRNA from 1 species
UUUAAAUGUAUGCGUUGCAAA